rnacentral:lncRNA from 1 species
CAGAGGCAGGCAGGCCUCCUUGAGCUGUGGUGGGCUCCGCCCAGUUGGAGCUUCCCGGCUGCUUUGUUUACCUAAGCAAGCCUGGGCAAUGGCGGGCGCCCCUCCCCCAGCCUUGCUGCUGCCUUGCACUUUGAUCUCAGACUGCUGUGCUAGCAAUCAGGGAGACUCCAUGGGCGUAGGACCCUCCAAGCCAUGUGUGGGAUAUAAUCUCGUGGUGUGCCGUUUUUUAAGCCCUUCGGAAAAGUGCAGUAUUCGGGUGGGAGUGACCUGAUUUUACAGAUGCCGUCCGUCACCCCUUUCUUUGAUUUGGAAAGGGAACUCCCUGACCCCUUGCACUUCCCAAGUGAGGUAAUGCCUCGCCCUGCUUCGGCUCACGCACGGUGCGCGCACCCACUGACCUGCACCCACUGUCUGGCGAGAUGAACCCGGUACCUCAGAUGGAAAUGCAGAAAUCACCGUCUUCUGCGUCGCUCACGCUGGGAGCUGUAGACCGGAGCUGUUCCUAUUCGGCCAUCUUGGCUCCUCUCCUCAGCGGUGAUUUGUUGGACACACCAAUGCUCCUGACACAUGCUAUUCACUUGGAGCAGCUC